ACGUAGGGCGCAAGCGUUGCUCGGAAUCACUGGGCGUAAAGCGUGAGUAGGUGGAUUUUUAGUAAGUCAGGUGUGAAAUCCUUGGGCUUAACCCAAGAAGUGCGCUUGAUACUGCUAGUCUAGAGUUCGGGAGAGGAAGGCGGAAUUCCUAGUGUAGGGGUGAAAUCCGUAGAUAUUAGGAGGAACACCAGUGGCGCAAGCGGCCUUCUGGACCGACACUGACACUGAGUCACGAAAGCGUGGGGAUCAAACAG
rnacentral:rRNA from 1 species